rnacentral:rRNA from 1 species
UACCAGCACCCCGAGUGGUCGGGACGAUUAUUGGGCGUAAAGGGCUCGUAGGCGGUUUGUCGCGUCGGGAGUGAAAAUCCAGGGCUUAACUCUGGACUGGCUUCCGAUACGGGCAGACUAGAGGUAUGCAGGGGAGAACGGAAUUCCUGGUGUAGCGGUGAAAUGCGCAGAUAUCAGGAGGAACACCGGUGGCGAAGGCGGUUCUCUGGGCAUUACCUGACGCUGAGGAGCGAAAGUGUGGGGAGCGAACAGG